rnacentral:rRNA from 1 species
AACGAACGCUGGCGGCAUGCCUAACACAUGCAAGUCGAACGAGACCUUCGGGUCUAGUGGCGCACGGGUGCGUAACGCGUGGGAAUCUGCCCUUGGGUUCGGAACAACAGUUGGAAACGACUGCUAAUACCGGAUGAUGACUUCGGUCCAAAGAUUUAUCGCCAAAGGAUGAGCCCGCGUAGGAUUAGCUUGUUGGUGAGGUAAAAGCUCACCAAGGCGACGAUCCUUAGCUGGUCUGAGAGGAUGAUCAGCCACACUGGGACUGAGACACGGCCCAGACUCCUACGGGAGGCAGCAGUGGGGAAUAUUGGACAAUGGGCGAAAGCCUGAUCCAGCAAUGCCGCGUGAGUGAUGAAGGCCUUAGGGUUGUAAGGCUCUUUUACCCGGGAUGAUAAUGACAGUACCGGGAGAAUAAGCCCCGGCUAACUCCGUGCCAGCCGCCGCAGUAAGAC